rnacentral:rRNA from 1 species
ACUGCUCAGUAACACGUGGACAAUCUGCCCUGAAGAAGAGGAUAAUCCCGGGAAACUGGGGGUAAUACUCUAUAGUCCGGGAGGACUGGAAUGUUCUCCGGAUGAAAGAUCCGUCGCUUCAGGAUGAGUCUGCGGCCGAUUAGGUAGUUGUUGGGGUAAAAGCCCAACAAGCCCGUAAUCGGUACGGGUUGUGGGAGCAAGAGCCCGGAGAUGGAUUCUGAGACACGAAUCCAGGCCCUAUGGGGCGCAGCAGGCGCGAAAACUUUACAAUGCGGGCAACCGUGAUAAGGAAACCCCGAGUGCCACCACAGGGUGGCUGUCCCCCAGUGUAAAAAACUGGUGAAGAAAGGGCCGGGCAAGACCGGUGCCAGCCGCCGCGGUAAUACCGGCGGCUCGAGUGGUGGCCGCUAUUACUGGGCUUAAAGGGUCCGUAGCUUGAUAAUAGGGUCCCUUGAGAAAUCCGCCGGCUUAACUGGCGGGCGUUCAGGGGAAACUUGUUUUCUAGGGACCGGGAGAGGUGAGGGGUACUGCCGGGGUAGGAGUGAAAUCCUGUAAUCCCGGUGGGACCACCUAUGGCGAGGGCAUCUCACCAGAACGGGUCCGACAGUGAGGGACGAAAGCUGGGGGAGCAAACCGGAUUAGAUACCCGGGUAGUCCCAGCUGUAAACUAUGUGCGUUAGGUGUGUCAGUGACCACGUGUCACUGAGGUGCCGAAGGGAAACCGUGAAACGCACCGCCUGGGGAGUACGGUCGCAAGGCUGAAACUUAAAGGAAUUGGCGGGGGAGCAC